rnacentral:rRNA from 1 species
CCUACGGGAGGCUGCAGUCGAGAAUCUUCGGCAAUGGGCGCAAGCCUGACCGAGCGACGCCGCGUGUGCGAUGAAGGCCUUCGGGUUGUAAAGCACUGUCGAGGGGGAGAAAAGCCCGCAAGGGUCUGAUCUAUCCCUGGAGGAAGCACGGGCUAAGUUCGUGCCAGCAGCCGCGGUAAGACGAACCGUGCGAACGUUGUUCGGAUUCACUGGGCUUAAAGGGCGCGUAGGCGGACAAUCAAGUCCAGGGUGAAAUCUUUCAGCUUAACUGGAAACGUGCCUUGGAUACUGGUUGUCUCGAGGGAGGUAGGGGCAUGCGGAACUUCCGGUGGAGCGGUGAAAUGCGUAGAUAUCGGAAGGAACGCCGGUGGCGAAAGCGGCGUGCUGGACCUCUUCUGACGCUGAGGCGCGAAAGCUAGGGGAGCGAACGGGAUUAGAUA